rnacentral:rRNA from 1 species
UACAGAGGUCCCAAGCGUUGUUCGGAUUCACUGGGCGUAAAGGGUGCGUAGGUGGUGAGGUAAGUCGGAUGUGAAAGCUCGGAGCUCAACUCCGAAAUGGCAUUGGAAACUACCUUGCUCGAGGGUUGGAGGGGGGACUGGAAUUCUCGGUGUAGCAGUGAAAUGCGUAGAUAUCGGAAGGAACGCCGGUGGCGAAAGCGGCCCGCUGGACCCUCUCUGACGCUGAGGCGCGAAAGCCAGGGGAGCAAACGGG